rnacentral:rRNA from 1 species
AGUGAACGCUGGCGGUAGGCCUAACACAUGCAAGUCGAACGGCAGCACACUAAGAGCUUGCUCUUACGGGUGGCGAGUGGCGGACGUGUGAGGAAUACAUCGUAAUCUACUUUUUCGUGGGGGAUAACGUAGGGAAACUUACGCUCAUACCGCAUACGACCUACGGUUGAAAGCAGGGGAUCUUCGGACCUUGCGCGAUUGAAUGAGCUGAUGUCGGAUUAGCUAGUUGGCGGGGUAAAGGCCCACCAAGGCGACGAUCCGUAGCUGGUCUGAGAGGAUGAUCAGCCACACUGGAGCUGAGACACGGUCCAGACUCCUACGGGAGGCAGCAGUGGGGAAUAUUGGACAAUGGGCGCAAGCCUGAUCCAGCCAUACCGCGUGGGUGAAGAAGGCCUUGGGGUUGUAAAGACCUUUUGUUGGGAAAGAAAAGCAGCAGGUUAAGACCCCGCUGUUCUGACGGUACCGAAAGAAUAAGCACCGGCUAACUUCGUG